AAAAACAUUUUAACUUUGAUUUCUUUUAAAAAAAACCCUAAACUCUUUCUUCUCCCCCACUUUCCUCUUUCUUCCAGCCGCAAACAAGGCCAACACCAAGCCUUCAACUACCUCCGUGAUUGAUUGCGACGACCGGAGCAGGGCCUUCCCGUGAUGCGAGUGCGACAUAACUCCGGUAUCGUGGGAGAGUGCACGAUCGUGGGUCAUGGACGCGCGAGCUAGUGGUCGUGUGUGGGCGUAUUGACGUGAGUGGGGCGUUGAACGUGGGGGGCUGCGGCGCAAGGGGAAGAAAGGAACUGAGGGUUUCUGAAUUUGAGCCUUCUGUCACCAGGCUAUUUUAAUGUAAUUGUGCUGGGUUUUCUUUUUGGUUUUAUUAUUUGUAAAUAGACAUUUAAUAUUUUGUUUUAUUCUUUGGUUUUUGUAUGUGCAUGGGCCCGGGGUCUUACAUUAUAUAUAUAUUUACAAAGUAAGAA